rnacentral:rRNA from 1 species
UACGUAGGGUCCGAGCGUUGUCCGGAAUUACUGGGCGUAAAGAGCUCGUAGGUGGUUUGUCGCGUUGUUCGUGAAAACUCACAGCUUAACUGUGGGCGUGCGGGCGAUACGGGCAGACUGGAGUACUGCAGGGGAGACUGGAAUUCCUGGUGUAGCGGUGGAAUGCGCAGAUAUCAGGAGGAACACCGAUGGCGAAGGCAGAUCUCUGGGCAGUAACUGACGCUGAGGAGCGAAAGCGUGGGGAGCGAACAGG